rnacentral:antisense_RNA from 1 species
CUUCACCGAUCCGAGCCACAGCGGCCGCUCGGGGUCACGGCCCUCCCCGUACGUGGCGAACAGCGCCUGCGCCUC